UUUACUGGAGGAAAAAUGAACGUCUGCACUUUGCCAGCUUAUGUCUUUGCUUAAAUUCGGCACUUACGACCAGAAUGUAUCAAUGAACCAAAGCCAUAGACUCUGUUGCAGAUACCGCCAUCUUUGUUGUGCGCGAUGCAUGCUGGGAAGGCAAGGGGGCAAACAACAAUGGCAACUCCAAACUUUCACUAUGUUUAUAUUGGAAUAACUGAAAGAAAUCUUUCAAAAAUAGUCACCUUUUCAAGAUGCUUCUCUCUGUUGGCAAAGGCUGUGCUUCUCCUCCUUUCACUUGGCAUUGGUGACGUUUACCUUCGUCAGCAGAGACUGUUCACAACUGCACG